rnacentral:rRNA from 1 species
UACGGAGGUGGCAAGCGUUGCUCGGAAUCACUGGGCGUAAAGGGCGCGUAGGCGGGGAGGUAAGUCGGGUGUGAAAUCCCUCGGCCCAACUGAGGAACUGCGCCCGAGACUGCUUCUCUUGAGUCCCGGAGAGGAAGAUGGAAUUCCCGGUGUAGCGGUGAAAUGUGUAGAGAUCGGGAGGAACACCGGUGGCGAAGGCAGCCCCCUGGGCUAACACUGACGCUCAUGCACGAAAGCGUGGGGAGCAAACAGG